GGCUAAAUACUCCUGACUGACCGAUAGUGAACCAGUACCGUGAGGGAAAGGCGAAAAGAACCCCGGCGAGGGGAGUGAAACAGAACCUGAAACCGUGUACGUACAAGCAGUGGGAGCCUUCUUUAUGGGGGUGACUGCGUACCUUUUGUAUAAUGGGUCAGCGACUUAUAUUCUGUAGCAAGGUUAACCGUAUAGGGGAGCCGCAGGGAAACCGAGUCUUAACUGGGCGUUAAGUUGCAGGGUAUAGACCCGAA
rnacentral:rRNA from 1 species